rnacentral:rRNA from 1 species
ACGGGAGGCAGCAGUGGGGAAUAUUGCACAAUGGGGGAAACCCUGAUGCAGCGACGCCGCGUGAGUGAAGAAGUAUUUCGGUAUGUAAAGCUCUAUCAGCAGGGAAGAAAAUGACGGUACCUGACUAAGAAGCCCCGGCUAACUACGUGCCAGCAGCCGCGGUAAUACGUAGGGGGCAAGCGUUAUCCGGAUUUACUGGGUGUAAAGGGAGCGUAGACGGCGAUGCAAGUCUGAUGUGAAAGCCCGGGGCUCAACCCCGGCACUGCAUUGGAAACUGUGUUGCUAGAGUGCAGGAGAGGUAAGUGGAAUUCCUAGUGUAGCGGUGAAAUGCGUAGAUAUUAGGAGGAACAUCAGUGGCGAAGGCGGCUUACUGGGCUUUAACUGACGCUGAGGCUCGAAAGCGUGGGGAGCAAACAGGAUUAGAUACCCUGGUA